UUUACCUUCAGGUCCUUGAGCUUAGCAUCUUCGACGCUCUUCCUCUGCCUCUCACUUCCUGAUGAAGUCCCGAUCGAUGGCAUCCACCAGAUUCCACAAUAAAUUUUCCAUCAACAUCGACCAAUGGUCAUAAUAGCCAUCAAAUUUUGGAAUCACGAAUUUCUCUGAGAUUGUCAUGCUUCAUUCACUCUCACACUCCUCUUUUAAUCAGGCCCCUUUUGCUCUGAUACCAAUUGUUGGAAAUCAGAACUCAAAGAGCUUAGAAAAACUGAACGAAGGAAUGUAUCUUCAAUUAAACAUACCAGCAGCUAUUUAUAGCUUUUACACAAAAAAGAAAUAACAGAAACUACGCUUUACAAGCCUAUAGCGUAGUGGCUAGAAAACAAACUCCUAUCUCUCCUAAAGAAUAGGCCUUAUUUCAACAAACUAGCAAAUUUAGUAAACUCAAAACAGAAACAACGAACCUAUAGCGAACAAUAACCUGGAUUUACAGUCCACAAAUAUAUAGCACGAUUUAUCAGAAAUGAAGUAAAUUCUCACUUGUGGGACUCCCCAGAUUAGGUAUUAAUCCUGCCAGACGAAUGAAAAAGGGUAUGGUACAUUGAGAUUUGCAGAAGGUUGGGGUUCAGACGAAUUAUUAGGAUUCAAAAUUGUGUAAUAAUUGCAAAUCAUGUCAUAAUAUUAUGUAAACCACCAAUGCUGUCAAGUAAAAUAGGAAAAGGGAAAGGUACUAUAAGGAAAAUAGCAGUACAAACACCCCUAAAUUGCCAGAAUAACCCGUUUCUCAAUUCCUCUAAUUUCAAAGAACGGUUGAAAUCAAGUAAUGUUCAAAAUAAAAUUAAUCCCAUGCAGGCAUUUUAAAUCAAAGCAAUCAGUGUUGAAUGAACAUCAAUACAAGUAUACAACAAAAACAUAAUAACAUAAGUAUCAGAUUACUCUAUUCUAUGAUGAACGGGUGAUGCGAUUGAGAACUGAAAGCUUAACAGAGUAGCAUCGGAGCUAAUUUAUGUCGAGUAGUUAACAGCGAAUUAAAGAAACUAACCAGUGUUCAAGGGGAAAAAAACAUAACGAAUGUAUAAAACUUUGCUGCCGGGAGAUUUAAUUAGCAAUAUUUUGAGUUCAUAUGAAUAUAUAUGAGAAACGGAGAUAUGGAGUACCUCUUGAAAUUUCUGAAAAAGGAACGCCAUGAGAAGUUGCUGGUGAACUGAGGAGGUCGAAGCUCUCGCCGCAAUGUAAUACAAGUAACGACGUGUUUGGUAUUUGGGGAAAUAAAAGGCAAGUAGGAGUAUUUGUUCCUCUCUUUUUCUUUUUUCUAAUUUAUUUGUUCC
rnacentral:lncRNA from 1 species